rnacentral:rRNA from 1 species
CCUACGGGUGGCUGCAGUGAGGAAUAUUAGUCAAUGGACGAGAGUCUGAACCAGCCAAGUAGCGUGAAGGAUGACUGCCCUAUGGGUUGUAAACUUCUUUUAUAUGGGAAUAAAAUGUUCCACGUGUGGGAUUUUGUAUGUACCAUAUGAAUAAGGAUCGGCUAACUCCGUGCCAGCAGCCGCGGUAAUACGGGGGAUCCGAGCGUUUUCCGGAUUUAUUGGGUUUAAAGGGAGCGUAGGUGGGUUGUUAAGUCAGUUGUGAAAGUUUGCGGCUCAACCGUAAAAUUGCAGUUGAAACUGGCAGUCUUGAGUACAGUAGAGGUGGGCGGAAUUCGUGGUGUAGCGGUGAAAUGCUUAGAUAUCACGAAGAACUCCGAUUGCGAAGGCAGUUCACUGGACUGCAACUGACACUGAGGCUCGAAAGUGUGGGUAUCAAACAGGAUUAGAUACCCUUGUAGUC